AACGAACGCUGGCGGCAGGCUUAACACAUACAAGUCGAACGCCCCGCAAGGGGAGUGGCAGACGGGUGAGUAACGCGUGGGAAUCUACCUAGUUCUACGGAACAACAGUUGGAAACGACUGCUAAUACCGUAUACGCCCUACGGGGGAAAGAUUUAUCGGAAUUAGAUGAGCCCGCGUAAGAUUAGCUAGUUGGAGGGGUAAUGGCCUACCAAGGCGACGAUCUUUAGCUGGUCUGAGAGGAUGAUCAGCCACACUGGGACUGAGACACGGCCCAGACUCCUACGGGAGGCAGCAGUGGGGAAUAUUGGACAAUGGGCGCAAGCCUGAUCCAGCCAUGCCGCGUGAGUGAUGAAGGCCUUAGGGUUGUAAAGCUCUUUCACCGAUGAAGAUAAUGACGGUAGUCGGAGAAGAAGCCCCGGCUAACUUCGUGCCAGCCGCCGCGGUAAAAC
rnacentral:rRNA from 1 species